UGAGUCGCUUGGGAAGACGGGGAGCUGGUUUCUCUGGGGAUCCCCGCAGCAGCCCGCCCACUGCACUGACCAGGGCCAGCAUGGCUACCUCCUUUCUGUGGUCACCUCAAAUGAGGGGACGGGGGCUGGAGGAGGGCAUGAAGGCAGCAGAGCCCAGGUUCACCAGGACGCCCAAGCUCUUGACAUUUCGCCUGUGCUUCUAUUGGGGACUCACCACCGCCUCCUGUGCCUUCUGUGGGGGAUCCUUGUGCCCCUGUGAAACACCGGAAAUGUUCUGAAA